GGAGGCGGGAAUGGGGUGGAGGGACACCCGCUGCCCACUCCCUUUUCUGGGCAGACCCGCAAGGGAGGGAGGAGGGCGCCUGCUGCAAUUAAGGCUCCCACAUGGCGACCACCGCUCAGCAGCCGCCCAGUCAGCUCGCCUGGGGAAAGGGGUUCAGGGGGCUAGCCCAGCUCGCCCUCCCCGAAGGCUGCGUGGCGGAUCCUCCCCCGCCCGGCUUUCCCGCCGUUUCGCCUCCCGCUCCCCUCGCGCGCACCCCUCCUCCUCCUCCUCCUCCUCCUCCUCGCACGUGGCUCUUCACGAAAUAAUUAUUUGGGAAAAAGAACCCUGACAGGAGGAGCCCGCCUUCAAUUAUUUAUGCCGACAACAAACCCAAAACGAGAUGGGGAAUCAAUCUACAGUCCUCCAGAUAUCGUUGGACUCCGCCAUCCCUGACCAUUGGUCAUGCUGGCUGGGGCUGAUGGGAGUUGGGAUUCAACUCAAUCCGCAUUCCUGAUUUAUACAGACUUCCUUUCAUCCGAAGUGGAUCACUUACACUUCACCAGGACCAAGACGAGUAGCGCUGACAACAUCACAAAGCAGAUGGCUACCAAGACAUAGAGGAUGGAGACAUGAAUUCUUCUGCUGUUUUUCCUUUGCGGAGACUCAGCAUUGGCAGGAGCUGUAGAAGUGAAGAUUAGUGGAAGCGUUUUAUUUGCAACAUUUAAAAAAUAAAUAAACAGAAGGAACAAAUGGUGACCUCCCCUUUUCAAAUGAAUAACAAAGGGGGUCAAAGUCAUGUAACAUGUGUGAGUGAAAUAGUGAGUGUGCAUGUGUUUGUGCACAAUCACAGCAAGGUUGCCAAAUUCUAUUCUGAGUUCCAGGGGGAGACAAGCUGUCUCUGUGCAUAGGUUGGGCCACCUCAACUGAAAAAGGAACCACAUAAAUUGGGAAACAACAUAAAUGAGUCUGGACAAUGCUCCUUUAUUUAAAUUUUAUUUUUUAUUUUUACCUGUUAUAUAAGCAAAGGCUCAAAAUAUUAGAUCUUUUCAUGUUGAAAAAGUAAUGCUGAAGGUGAGGGUAAAUCAGUACUAAACCAUCUAAAACA